UACGGAGGGUGCAAGCGUUAUCCGGAUUUACUGGGUUUAAAGGGUGCGUAGGUGGGUCUGUAAGUCAGUGGUGAAAUCUUCAAGCUUAACUUGGAAACUGCCAUUGAUACUAUAGGUCUUGAAUUGUCUGGAGGUAAGCGGAAUAUGUCAUGUAGCGGUGAAAUGCUUAGAUAUGACAUAGAACACCAAUUGCGAAGGCAGCUUACUACGGAUUGAUUGACACUGAGGCACGAAAGCGUGGGGAUCAAACAGG
rnacentral:rRNA from 1 species